rnacentral:lncRNA from 1 species
GACAUUGCUUUUUGCAUUAAAUCAUUCGUGAAAAUAAUAAGAUUAACAGUGUAGAUUGCACUUCUGUAAAUAUAGGCAAAGUAAUUGCCCUUUACGACUAAAACUGUGCCAUUUUUACUAUGAAAUUUAGUAUAAAAAAUAUAACCUAGAAUGAAAUUCUGAUACAUAUAUAUAACUUAUUUAUUCAAAGGUCAAAACAUAGGGCCGUGCAGCAUAUAUUCAACAUUUACAUACCCCGAACUUUUAAAAGUUUAAAAUUAUACUAAAAUUCUGUAAUAAUCUUCCCUACGCUUUUGGUGUUCCUCAGAACUAAAUUUUCGCCUCUACCAUAUGUGUUUUUAUACUGGUAACAUUCCGUAGUUAUGUCUCUAUGAGAUUAAACAUAUAUAGUAAAUCUGGGAACCAGUACGUAAAUGAAGGCACAGUAGACAUGUAGAAUACCGAUGUUCAAAACUAAAUAUCUAUGAAUAUUGCAUACUAGUAUCUCCCCUAAAGAGGUGUGGUUGGUGAAACAACUGUAUUUACAAAGUGUAACUUUAAUAUGUUAAGUAUGUCCGAAGCACCUUUCUCUACUUAAAUUAUAGCAUUCAUCUAAAGAACAAACACGCGUCACGAUGUCUUAAUAUAGGACACGAUUAAAUGUAAAUUGAAUAAAUAUAAAUUAUGUAGCAUGAGUGCAUAUACAACAUUUAUCCACGACAGUCUUAUUGGGUUGUGUUUAAUCAACAUUAGGAAAUAAUGUAGCCUACAAUAUUAAGAAAAAUCUUUAUCGUAUAGUCGAAUAUAAAAGUUCCCAACAUGACACAAAUGCGAAAUUAUUAAAAACAUGAAAAAAACCCAAAACACGAACCAAUUCAUGACACAACAAACAAAAGAAAUCAAAUACAAAUGAAGUGUUUUUCAUAAUCUUAGUUGAUAUACUAUUUCAAAUGUAAUUGCUAUGUGUAUUGUCUAAUAGAUAUGUAUAAUAAUAUAACACAUUAUAAAUUUUAUGCAUAUGAA